UGAGACAGUUCGGUCCCUAUCCGUCGCAGGCGUAGGAAAUUUGAGGAGAUCUGUCCUUAGUACGAGAGGACCGGGAUGGACAUACCUCUGGUGUACCAGUUGUUCUGCCAAGGGCAUGGCUGGGUAGCUAUGUAUGGAAAGGAUAAGCGCUGAAAGCAUCUAAGCGCGAAGCCAACUUCAAGAUAAGAUUUCCCACCGCAAGGUUAAGAUCCCAGGAAGACUACCUGGUUGAUAGGUCAGAGGUGUAAGUGCAGCAAUGUAUGUAGCUUACUGAUACUAAUAGAUCGAGGACUUGACCA
rnacentral:rRNA from 1 species